rnacentral:rRNA from 1 species
AGAGUUUGAUCCUGGCUCAGGAUGAACGCUGGCGGUCUGCUUAACACAUGCAAGUCGAACGGGCUCUUCGGAGCUAGUGGCGGACGGGUGAGUAACGCGUGAGAAUCUGCCUUCAGGAGGGGGAUAACGACUGGAAACGGUCGCUAAUACCCCAUAUGCCUCCGGGUGAAAAGUAAUUCGCCUGAAGAUGAGCUCGCGUCAGAUUAGCUAGUUGGUGGGGUAAGAGCCUACCAAGGCGACGAUCUGUAGCUGGUCUGAGAGGAUGAUCAGCCACACUGGGACUGAGACACGGCCCAGACUCCUACGGGAGGCAGCAGUGGGGAAUUUUCCGCAAUGGGCGCAAGCCUGACGGAGCAAGACCGCGUGGGGGAUGACGGCCUAAUGGUUGUAAACCCCUUUUCUCUGGGAAGAAGACUGACGGUACCAGAGGAAUCAGCCUCGGCUAACUCCGUGCCAGCAGCCGCGGUAAUACGGAGGAGGCAAGCGUUAUCCGGAAUUAUUGGGCGUAAAGCGUCCGUAGGUGGUUAUUCAAGUCUGCUGUCAAAGCGUGGGGCUUAACUCCAUAGAGGCAGUGGAAACUGAGUGACUAGAGUGCGGUA